rnacentral:tRNA from 1 species
CCCUUGGUGGUCUAGUUGGUUAUGGCCCCCGGCUGUAAUCGAAGUCUCUUGGACUCGAGCAAACUCGAGUAUCCAAUGACACCUGCUUACCGGGUGGUCGCGUGUUCGACUCACGCCCGAGGGA